UACGUAGGGUGCAAGCGUUAAUCGGAAUUACUGGGCGUAAAGCGUGCGCAGGCGGUUUUGUAAGUCUGUCGUGAAAGCCCCGGGCUCAACCUGGGAAUUGCGAUGGAGACUGCAAGGCUUGAAUCUGGCGGAGGGGGGUAGAAUUCCACGUGUAGCAGUGAAAUGCGUAGAGAUGUGGAGGAACACCGAUGGCGAAGGCAGCCCCCUGGGUCAAGAUUGACGCUGAGGAGCGAAAGCCAGGGGAGCAAACGGG
rnacentral:rRNA from 1 species